UGACCUCCGCCCCGGGCGCUGCGUGCCCCGGACCCAGGCGCCCGCCGGGGACCACCCAAACCCUGUUUUUGUUUUCAAAACAUGUGCAUCUUCUGAGCGAGCCGAAAGGCGCAAAAAAAACAAUCAAAACUUUCAACAACGGAUCUCUUGGUUCUGGCAUCGAUGAAGAACGCAGCGAAAUGCGAUAAGUAAUGUGAAUUGCAGAAUUCAGUGAAUCAUCGAAUCUUUGAACGCACAUUGCGCCCGCCAGUAUUCUGGCGGGCAUGCCUGUCCGAGCGUCAUUUCAACCCUCGGGCCCCCCCUCUGCGGGCGGCCCGGCGUUGGGGCUCAGGCGCCGUCUCUGCUCGGCGCCUGUCCCCUAAAUGCAGUGGCGGCCUCGCCGCUGCCUCCUCCGCGUAGUAGCACAAACCUCGCGGCUGGAAGGCGGCGCGGCCACGCCGUAAAACCCCCAACUUUACCAAGGUUGACCUCGGAUCAGGUAGGAAUACCCGCUGAACUUAA
rnacentral:rRNA from 1 species